CCUACGGGUGGCAGCAGUGGGGAAUAUUGCACAAUGGGCGCAAGCCUGAUGCAGCCAUGCCGCGUGUGUGAAGAAGGCCUUCGGGUUGUAAAGCACUUUCAGCGGGGAGGAAGGCGUUAAGGUUAAUAACCUUGUCGAUUGACGUUACCCGCAGAAGAAGCACCGGCUAACUCCGUGCCAGCAGCCGCGGUAAUACGGAGGGUGCAAGCGUUAAUCGGAAUUACUGGGCGUAAAGCGCACGCAGGCGGUCUGUCAAGUCAGAUGUGAAAUCCCCGGGCUCAACCUGGGAACUGCAUUCGAAACUGGCAGGCUAGAGUCUUGUAGAGGGGGGUAGAAUUCCAGGUGUAGCGGUGAAAUGCGUAGAGAUCUGGAGGAAUACCGGUGGCGAAGGCGGCCCCCUGGACAAAGACUGACGCUCAGGUGCGAAAGCGUGGGGAGCAAACAGGAUUAGAUACCCGAGUAGUC
rnacentral:rRNA from 1 species